AAGUGGCAGACGGGUGAGUAACGCGUGGGAACCUGCCCUGUGGUAGGGAAUAACCGCGGGAAACUGCGGCUAAUACCCUAUGUGUCCUGAGGGACAAAGAUUUAUCGCCAUAGGAGGGGCCCGCGUCGGAUUAGGUAGUUGGUGGGGUAACGGCCUACCAAGCCAUCGAUCCGUAGCUGGUCUGAGAGGAUGAUCAGCCACACUGGGACUGAGAUACGGCCCAGACUCCUACGGGAGGCAGCAGUGGGGAAUAUUGGACAAUGGGGGCAACCCUGAUCCAGCAAUGCCGCGUGGAUGAUGAAGGCCUUCGGGUUGUAAAGUCCUUUCGGCGGGGAAGAUGAUGACGGUACCCGCAGAAGAAGCCCCGGCUAACUUCGUGCCAGCAGCCGCGGUAAUACGAAGGGGGCUAGCGUUGUUCGGAAUUACUGGGCGUAAAGGGCGCGUAGGCUGUGCUGUAAGUCAGGCGUGAAAGGCCCGGGCUCAACCUGGGAACUGCGCAUGA
rnacentral:rRNA from 1 species